rnacentral:rRNA from 1 species
UGGGGAAUAUUGGACAAUGGGGGGAACCCUGAUCCAGCCAUGCCGCGUGUGUGAAGAAGGCCUUUUGGUUGUAAAGCACUUUAAGUGGGGAGGAGGCUUACCUGGUUAAUACCUGGGCUAAGUGGACGUUACCCACAGAAUAAGCACCGGCUAACUCUGUGCCAGCAGCCGCGGUAAUACAGAGGGUGCGAGCGUUAAUCGGAUUUACUGGGCGUAAAGCGCGCGUAGGUGGUUAAUUAAGUCAAAUGUGAAAUCCCCGAGCUUAACUUGGGAAUUGCAUUCGAUACUGGUUAGCUAGAGUAUGGGAGAGGAUGGUAGAAUUCCAGGUGUAGCGGUGAAAUGCGUAGAGAUCUGGAGGAAUACCGAUGGCGAAGGCAGCCAUCUGGCCUAAUACUGACACUGAGGUGCGAAAGCAUGGGGAGCAAACAGGAUUAGAUACCCUGGUAGUCCAUGCCGUAAACGAUGUCUACUAGCCGUUGGGGGAUUUGAUCCUUUAGUGGCGCAGCUAACGCGAUAAGUAGACCGCCUGGGGAGUACGGUCGCAAGACUA